AUGAUGAUGAUGAAGAUGAUGAUGAAGAAGAAGAAGAAGAAUAAGAAGAAGAAGAUGAUGAUGAUGAUGAUGAAGAUGAUGAUGAUGAUGAUGAUGAUGAUGAUGAUGAUGAUGAUGAAGAAGAAGAAGAAGAAGAAGAAGAAGAUGAAGACUAGAAUAAGAAGAAGAAUAACGAUAAUACGAAGACGAAGAAUAAGACUAGAAUAAGAAGAAGACUAGAAUAAGAAGAAGAAGAAGAAGAAGA
rnacentral:lncRNA from 1 species